rnacentral:piRNA from 1 species
UUACAUUAAGUAAUAAGAUGCCAUGCUCUGU